rnacentral:misc_RNA from 1 species
GAUGAAGAACGCAGCGAAAUGCGAUAACUAAUGUGAAUUGCAGAAUUCCGUGAAUCAUCGAGUCUUUGAACGCACAUUGCGCCCCCUGGCAUUCCGGGGGGCAUGCCUGUCCGAGCGUCAUUGCUGCCCUUCAAGCCCGGCUUGUGUGUUGGGUCGUCGUCCCCCCCGGGGGACGCGCCCGAAAGGCAGCGGCGGCACCGCGUCCGGUCCUCGAGCGUAUGGGGCUUUGUCACCCGCUCGAUUAGGGCCGGCCGGGCGCCAGCCGGCGUCUCCAACCUUCUAUUUUACCAGGUUGACCUCGGAUCAGGUAGGGAUACCCGCUGAACUUAAGCAUAUCAAUAAGCGGAGGA